AUGAACGCUGGCGGCGUGCCUAAUACAUGCAAGUCGAGCGAACAGACGAGGAGCUUGCUCCUCUGAUGUUAGCGGCGGACGGGUGAGUAACACGUGGAUAACCUACCUAUAAGACUGGGAUAACUUCGGGAAACCGGAGCUAAUACCGGAUAACAUGUUGAACCGCAUGGUUCAACGGUGAAAGACGGUCUUGCUGUCACUUAUAGAUGGAUCCGCGCCGCAUUAGCUAGUUGGUAAGGUAACGGCUUACCAAGGCAACGAUGCGUAGCCGACCUGAGAGGGUGAUCGGCCACACUGGAACUGAGACACGGUCCAGACUCCUACGGGAGGCAGCAGUAGGGAAUCUUCCGCAAUGGGCGAAAGCCUGACGGAGCAACGCCGCGUGAGUGAAGAAGGUCUUCGGAUCGUAAAACUCUGUUAUUAGGGAAGAACAAAUGUGUAAGUAACUAUGCACGUCUUGACGGUACCUAAUCAGAAAGCCACGGCUAACUACGUG
rnacentral:rRNA from 1 species